rnacentral:misc_RNA from 1 species
CAGCUGCGUUAAGUGGUGUGAAUUGCAGGACACGCCGAGCACUAAAUUUUCGAACGCAUAUUGCGCCUAUGGGCUUUCCCGUAGGCAUGUCUGUCUGAGGGUCGGAAAAGUUGAACACAUAGUGAUAGCUGAUUUCGAGUUGGUCCUUUUGCACUUUAUUGUGUCAAUAGUAUUAGACCUGUUCGUUCAGCUCAAGAAACGCGAUGUUCGGCCGAAUUCGGCAGCGGUGCAUCGGUUCAGCGCUACGUGCUGUUACCGUUCACUGGGGUGAAACCUCUAACUGUCGGUAGUUGUCGCAACAAUUCAGCGUCAAUCUUAAUUGACCAAAAACUUUAAUUUCAAACUUGUCGACCUCAGAUCAGGCAAGAUUACCCGCUGAAUUUAA